GACGAACGCUGGCGGCGUGCUUAACACAUGCAAGUCGAACGGUAAGGCCCUUCGGGGUACACGAGUGGCGAACGGGUGAGUAACACGUGGGUGAUCUGCCCUGCACUUCGGGAUAAGCCUGGGAAACUGGGUCUAAUACCGGAUAGGACUCCUGGCUUCAUGGUUGGGGGUGGAAAGCUUUUGCGGUGUGGGAUGGGCCCGCGGCCUAUCAGCUUGUUGGUGGGGUAAUGGGCUACCAAGGCGACGACGGGCAGCCGGCCUGAGAGGGGGACCGGUCACCCUGGGACUGCGAUACGGCCCAGACUCCUACGGGAGGCAGCAGUGGGGAAUAUUGCACAAUGGGCGCAAGCCUGAUGCAGCGACGCCGCGUGAGGGAUGACGGCCUUCUGGUUGUAAACCUCUUUCAGCUAUGACGAAGCGCAAGUGACGGUAGUAGCAGAAGAAGGACCGGCCAACUACGUGCCAGCCGCCGCUGUAA
rnacentral:rRNA from 1 species